UAACAAUCAACUACAAAAACAGUUCAAAAAUCAAUUUCAGAUCUCUCUUUACAUUCAAACUAAUUUGAGAUCACAAUCAACUACAAAAACAGAGUUCCAAAAUCAAUUUGAGAUCUAUAUUUACCCCAGGAAAAUCAACUUGAGAUUCAGAAUAAACGAAACUUCUAAGGUAAUGGUGAUAAUCCAAGAGCUAGAGGAGAUGUAGUACACUACAAACAAUGAAGAUCUGGAGGUAUUGGAGUUCAUUACGAACAAUGAAGAGCUGGAGGAGAUUGAAUUCAUUACGAACAACAAGGAUCUAAAGGAGAUGGAGUUCAGUAUGAACAAUGAAGAGAUGCAGGAUAUGGAUUUUAAUAUGAACAAUGAAGAGAUGGAGGAGAUGGAGUUCAGUAUGAACAAUGAAGAGAUGGAUGAUAUGGAUUCGAACUCUUGUUUUCCAGGAACAGUCGCGGAUUCUGUCUUACAAACAAAUCUUGAAGAAACAACAACACUUGCCACAGAGUCAAGUAUUGCCACCAGAAACAAGAAAGAGAUGACAGAUGAACAACGGCUAUCUAUUUUUCAUUUCUUAUUGAAGGAUAACAACAAGGGAAGACUUCGAAAGGGCUCGGUUCCAAGGGCAACACAACUAUUUUCAGUAUCAGAAUCCAUAGUAAAACGUACAUGGAGACGAGGAAAAGAGUGUGAAGCAAAGAAUAUACCUGUUGA